ACGGCUUCGCGGGCUGAGAGGUCAGAGGCUGCGAGUGUCGCUGCUGAAGGCUGUGGUGGACCCGGCCGGGUCGCGGAUUCUGAGCUACAUCUCGGGUUUGGGGUUAGGGUUAGUGGAAAGGCCACGAGGAGCCGCGGGGGCUCAGGAGCCGGUGGUGGGCGUCUGAGGAGAAGUCGCCCCAUGAGGAAGCUCUUCAGCUUCGGGAGACGCCCGGGCCGGGCGGUCCUGGGCUCCAUCGACCACGAGUACCCGGGUCCCGCGUACCACACCAGGGACGCGGAACUGCGGAAGAUCCACAGGGCGGCCCUCAAGGGCGACGCCGCGGAGGUGGAGCGCCGCCUGGCGCGCAGGUGCCGGGACGUGGAUGCCCAGGACAGGACUGUUCUACAUUUGGCCUGUGCCCACGGCCGUGUGCAAGUGGUCACUCUCUUGCUGAGCAGAAAAUGUCAGAUCGACAUCUGUGACAGACUAAACAGGACGCCUUUAAUGAAGGAAGAGACGUGUUCCAUUAUUCUGCUGGAACAUGGCACCAGUCCAAACAUUAAGGACGUCUACAGCAACACUGCUCUUCAUGAUGGUAAACAUUGAGGAUGUCUACGGCAACACUGCUCUUCAUGAUGCUGUCUAUGAUAAGGGGACUUCACUGGCAGGAAGCCUGCUUUCCCACCAUGCAAAUACUGAAGCACUAAACAAGAACACGACUUAAAAGUGGCUUCAGAGGAAAAGCAAGAAACGCUUGAAAGAAGUGAAAAUAAACAGCCAGAGAUUUUCAAAGUUAUAGAAAAAAGAAGGAUGUGAUAUAUACAAAUUGCAUAUUGAAGGGAGAUAUUGCCACACUCAAACAGGAAUAAUACACAAUAAAAAAUGACAGUGUCAAAAA
ensembl:lncRNA ANKRD18DP ankyrin repeat domain 18D, pseudogene